GCUCUGGUGAGAAUAUCUCUGUAUGUACAGGGUUCAAUGAAGUAAGUCUGAAUGAAAGUGGAGGCACAGUAUAGGCCCUGUGUACCUCUGUGGAAGUUAAAUUUCAGUUCUGUGCAAAAUGUCAUAAUAGGCCUAUGGCAUUAAGGAAUGUAUAUUAAAUUGCAAUUUUCUGCAGGAUCCCCAACAUAAUAGGCAAGUUGCAUAGUCCUAGACAUGACCCAAAAUCUGUGUAGAUUUUUUUUCUGCCAUUUGGGGGUGGCCUUUUGUAAAACC